rnacentral:rRNA from 1 species
ACGGGUGAGUAAUGUCUGGGAAACUGCCUGAUGGAGGGGGAUAACUACUGGAAACGGUAGCUAAUACCGCAUAACGUCGCAAGACCAAAGAGGGGGACCUUCGGGCCUCUUGCCAUCGGAUGUGCCCAGAUGGGAUUAGCUUGUUGGUGGGGUAACGCUCACCAAGGCGACGAUCCCUAGCUGGUCUGAGAGGAUGACCAGCCACACUGGAACUGAGACACGGUCCAGACUCCUACGGGAGGCAGCAGUGGGGAGUAUUGCACAAUGGGCGCAAGCCUGAUGCAGCCAUGCCGCGUGUAUGAAGAAGGCCUUCGGGUUGUAAAGUACUUUCAGCGGGGAGGAAGGGAGUAAAGUUAAUACCUUUGCUCAUUGACGUUACCCGCAGAAGAAGCACCGGCUAACUCCGUGCCAGCAGCACGCGGUAAUACGGAGGGUGCAAGCGUUAAUCGGAAUUACUGGGCGUAAAGCGCACGCAGGCGGUUUGUUAAGUCAGAUGUGAAAUCCCCGGGCUCAACCUGGGAACUGCAUCUGAUACUGGCAAGCUUGAGUCUCGUAGAGGGGGGUAGAAUUCCACGUGUAGCGGUGAAAUGCGUAGAGAUCUGGAGGAAUACCGGUGGCUAAAGGGCCCCCCUGGACGAAGACUGACGCUCAGGUGCGAAAGCGUGGGGAGCAAACAGGAUUAGAUACCCUGGUAGUCCACGCCGUAAACGAUGUCGACUUGGAGGUUGUGCCCUUGAGGCGUGGCUUCCGGAGCUAACGCGUUAAGUCGACCGCCUGGGGAGUACGGCCGCAAGGUUAAAACUCAAAUGAAUUGACGGGGGCCCGCACAAGCGGUGGAGCAUGUGGUUUAAUUCGAUGCAACGCGAAGAACCUUACCUGGUCUUGACAUCCACAGAACUUUCCAGAGAUGGACUGGUGCCUUCGGGAACUGUGAGACAGGUGCUGCAUGGCUGUCGUCAGCUCGUGUUGUGAAAUGUUGGGUUAAGUCCCGCAACGAGCGCAACCCUUAUCCUUUGUUGCCAGCGGUCCGGCCGGGAACUCAAAGGAGACUGCCAGUGAUAAACUGGAGGAAGGUGGGGAUGACGUCAAGUCAUCAUGGCCCUUACGACCAGGGCUACACACGUGCUACAAUGGCGCAUACAAAGAGAAGCGACCUCGCGAGAGCAAGCGGACCUCAUAAAGUGCGUCGUAGUCCGGAUUGGAGUCUGCAACUCGACUCCAUGAAGUCGGAAUCGCUAGUAAUCGUGGAUCAGAAUGCCACGGUGAAUACG